rnacentral:rRNA from 1 species
GAUUAGCUUGUUGGUGGGGUAACGGCUCACCUAGGCGACAAUGCCUAGCUGGUCUGACAAGAUGACCGCCACUCUGGAACUGAGACACGGUCCAGACUCCUACGGGAGGCAGCAGUGGGGAAUAUUGCACAAUGGGCGCAAGCCUGAUGCACCCAUGCCGCGUGUAUGAAGAAGGCCUUCGGGUUGUAAAGUACUUUCAGCGGGGAGGGAAGGGAGUAAAGUUAAUACCUUUGCUCAUUGACUUUACCCGCAGAACAAGCACCGGCUAACUCCGUGCCCUCAGCCGCGGUAAUACGGUGAAGGGUGCAAGCGUUAAUCGGAAUUACUGGGCGUAAAGCGCACGCAGGCGGUUUGUUAAGUCAGAUGUGAAAUCCCCGGGCUCAACCUUGGGGAACUGCAUCUGAUACUGGCAAGCUUGAGUCUCGUAGAGUGGGGGAUAGAAUUCCUGGUGUUGCCGGUGUAAAUGCGUAGAAAAUCUGGAAGAAUACCAGUGGCGAAAGCGGCCCCCUUGGACUAAGACUGACUGCUCAUGUGCGAAAAGCGUGGGGAGCAAACAGGAUUUAGAUACCCUGGUAAUCCCCGCGCCCGUACACGAUGUCGACUUGUGAGGUUGUGCCCUUUAAGCGUGGCUUCCCGAGCUAACGCGUUAUAUCGACCGCCUGGGGGAGUACGGGCCGCGAGGUUAAAACUCAAAUGAAUUUGACAGGGGGCCCGCACAAGCGGUGGAGCAUGUGGUUUUAAUUCUAUGCAACGCGAAGAACCUCACCUGGUCUUGACAUCCACUGAAGUUUUCUGAGAUGGAUAUGUGUCCUUCGUUGAACCGUCAGACAGAGUACUGGCAUGCUGUCUCCGUCUCCUGCUGCGAAAUGUAAUGUUAAGUCCCGGUACGAGCACAACCCUUAUCCUUUGUCAUCUGUGGUCUGGCCGGGAAUCCAACCGGGACUACCAGUGGUAAACUGCCGGAACGUGGAGCUGACGGGAAAGCAUCAUGGCCCAUACGACCAGGAUUACACACCCGCUUCAAUGGCCCAUACAAACAGAAGCUUCCUUGCGAGAGCAAGCUGACCUCAUAAACUGCGCCGUAGUCCGGAUUGGAGACUGCAACUCGACUCCAUGAAGUGGGAAUCGCUAGUAAUCGUGGAUCAGAAUGCCACGGUGAAUACGUUCCCGGCCCUUGUACACACCGCCCGUCACA